rnacentral:lncRNA from 1 species
CCUUGGAACCUUGGUAGCAGUACCUCUUUAUGUGAGAAAGAAAUGAGGUCAUAAGGGCAAAAAGCAUCUGAGUCAUACGAGAUGAAGAGGAGAGAAGAAAGAGCUCUCAGCAAAGAGCCUAAUUUUUUUCCAAUAAAUAUAAGGCAAGGUAGUUCUCAGCUAAGAAACUGGGCAGAGAGGGAGCAAUGGGCAAGUUGAGGAGGGAUAAAAAUGUAUAGAGAAGGUUCUAUGAAAAGCUCAAUAGGGAAAGUGAAUUGAUUAGGGAGGUUUAGUCAGUCAAUAAGUAUUUAUUAAGCACCUACUAUGUGUCAGGCACUGUGCUAAGCACUUGAAAGGAUUAUAAAGUGUACAGCUUCUGCCUAGCAGCAUCAGGGACCAAGAUGAGGAUAUAUAGAAUAAAUUUGUAGUGAAUUCAAUCAAAUUAGUUGUAUGAUUUUUCUAUACUAUUGUUCAAUAGCACAUAGGUAGGAAUGAUCUAAGGCUGAGGACUGGCAAGGCACAAUCAAUAUUAUAAUGGAGCCAAGGACUCAAAAGAAGAGGACAAUACUAAGCUGAAUUGGUUCAAUGAAGUCAGGGAAAGAGAAUAUGGCUAGUAGAGGGGUGAUGGUCUAAGAGAAAACUGAAGAGUCACAAGAUUGAAAGCUGUGGUAUGGCCAAAAAGUGGGGUUUGGUACUAGAAGGAAGAGGAAUAUGUGGAAAGCCAAUGUAUUAUGAUCUAAUAAGAGAAUUUCAGAGUUUUUGAACAUAGAAGUGGUACCUUUGAUGGUAAAGACAAGAUCAAAGAUAUGACUCAGUGUAUGGCUGAGGUGGGAUGGAAGAGUCAGUCAUAGGAAAUGAGAAGCUGACAAAGAUGACAGAAGAUGGGAAUUGCCAUUAUUGUCAGGGUUUUGAAAAGAUGGCAUCACUAAGGAGGCAUUGGUGGAAACUCCAAGAAGGUUAAUAACAAAAAGAAAAGUCCCUUAAAUAAUAAAGUAAUGAUAGCAGCACUUUUAUAGUAAUAA